AUUGAACGCUGGCGGCAGGCCUAACACAUGCAAGUCGAACGAGGGGCGGACGGGUGAGUAAUGUCUGGGAAACUGCCCGAUGGAGGGGGAUAACUACUGGAAACGGUAGCUAAUACCGCAUACCAUCGGAUGUGCCCAGAUGGGAGUAGCUCGUAGGUGGGGUAAUGGCUCACCUAGGCGACGAUCCCUAGCUGGUCUGAGAGGAUGACCAGCCAAACUGGAACGUAGUGCCGGUCCAGAUUCCUCCGGGCGGCAGCAGGGGGGAAUAGUGCACAAUGUGCGCAAUCCUGAUGCAGCCAUGCCGCGUGUAUGAAGAAGGCCUUCGGGUUGUAAAGUACUUUCAGCGAGUAGGCGUUACUCGCAGAAGAAGCACCGGCUAACUCCGUGCCAGCAGCCGCGGUAAUUC
rnacentral:rRNA from 1 species